AAUAACGAUAAAUGUGUAUGUUCCAGGCAAUAAUUUAAAAUAUUUGUGAAACUUAUCGUUUUGCGCUAAAAUACAUCAAUGUGUGUGAAAUUCGUUGUCAUUGCUUUUGUUUUGAACAUCAUAUUCGUGCCUGCCGGUGGAAAAAUUAGAGCGACAUAUUAGUGCAUUGGUAAAGUGCUCUUAUCAUUGUGUUAUAGUCAACUGCAGCCAAUCUUCUUUGGACAAUAAGUUGUAUUGGUGGAGCAGUUUCCUGAGCUUUGGAAGUGUUUGGGCUUGUUCGAGUUGCAAUUACAACUGUAGUGUUGCGUGAAUAAAGCAUCACGUUCGCUGUGAAUUUCUAGCAACGUUUUACCAAUUAGGAUGUUGGAACCGUCUUGCAAAUUUUCAUCAGCGCUGCAGUUUUUGUGCUUUUAUUGCGUGCCUCGAGCAGGCCCUUUAUCAGUGAAUAGUUGUGGUUGUUGUAGUAGUAGCCGCAUUACGAAGCCCGGCCUCAGUCGGUUUUCCAUCAACAACAACGACAAUAAUAACCUGUUUAUGCAUUCCUGUUUUAUUGCAUUCCCCUUUCCAAAUUAAUAUUAUACUAUGUUUAAGGCUCGGUGAAAUAAAUGAAGCGCUACUGGAGGCAAAUUAAAAUAUCUCCCUCAGCAAAAAUGAGACUCUCGCUCAUGAUGAAAGCAUGUUAAUAGUUUAUUCUUUGAAACAUCACCGACAUAGUCAUAUUCUAAAGCAUCAUCAACGCCAUCACCAAAUUCAAUGCCAUCAACACCAUCAGCGGCUAGUAACAAUGUUAUACCACAGAUUUAUGGCGAAUUACAACGAGGCAAAAAACAUAUACAUAUGUAGGAAUUGUAAAAUUCCUAAAAUUUAGCAAAGUUUUAAGAAAACUGCAUUUUCUUGAACCACUAUAAAUGAUUUCCAAUUGUUAAUAUAUAUCAAAAGAAAGCUAAAAGGAUUACCUUUCCUUUGAUUAUAAAACCAUUUAAAUCGCUGGACAUUUUUAUGCAAAUUUCGCAACUUUUGAAAUCAUCUAUAUGUAAGCAGUGGAAAGGUUCUAAAAUUUUGCAAAGUUGUAAGAAAACUGCAUUUUCUUGAACCACUAUAAAUGAUUUCCAAUUGUUAAUAUAUAUCAAAAGAAAGAUAAAUCGAUUACCUUUCUUUUAAUUAAAAUACCAUUGAAUUCGUUUAACAUUUUUAUGCAAAUUUCGCAACUUUUGAAAUCAUCUAUAUGUAAGCAGUGGAAAAGUCCUCAAAUUUUGUAGUUGUAAGAAAACUGAAUUUUCGUAAACCACGAUAAAUGAUUUCCAACUGUUAAUAUAUAUCAAAAGAAUAGUAAAUUGAUUAAUAUAUUAUUAUUAUUAUUAUAGUUUAAUAUCUUUAUACAUAGAUUUAUUUAAUAUCCCGUUUUGUAGAAUGGUUAUGAUGAUGUCUUAGAAACGCUUGCCAUAAUUGAUUAUUAAUAAAAUAAAGGUUUAUACUUUAAAAGGAUUUUUUAUUUCAAAUUGAUAUUCUUUAUUUUUUUUAACUUAUUGCUUUUCCACACCACCACUGAGGUUGCAAUGAAGGCGCGUUACCGAUUUUUUUUUUUGGGUGUUCGGUUCCCCAGGAGGCCUAUUUUCACCCAUACUAUCUACAAAUACGAAGUGCAUGCAUAUAAGAAAAUCUAAGAAAUAGCAAAAUCCACGAAAUACGAAAAAACUACACAAAUCUACUUGGAAAAAACGACUAUGACUAAUAAUAAAAUCUAAGAAAUAGCAAAAUCCACGAAAUACAAAAAAACUACACAAUUCUACUUGGAAAAAACGACUAUGACUAAUAAUACUACAUACAAGAAAACUACUUUAUACAAAUUUAUAUACAAUAUUUACAAAACCACCCACAGUAAAUCCCUUUCUAUGAACUGUAAUAGAGUAUAGCAAAAAAAUAAAAAAAAUAUUGCGACUGUAAAUGUAGAGAACAUCAGCAUAUAGAAGCAAACUUUUGGGGUCAACAAUUGUUAUUAAUAAGAGAGAAUCACAUCCCAAGACAUCAAAUUAAAUUUUUAAAUAAGAUUGUUAUUAAAAAAAAAAUGUGGCACAAAGCCUAAUAACAUUAAAAAAAAAAAAUUUUGGACGAAAAAAAAUUGUGUAGCUCAGGAGCACUGUUAAAAAAUUUUUUAUCAUUAAAAGAAAUAGUACACAGUCAUAGUCAGUAACACUGUUAAAAAAAUUUUAUGAUAAAAAAAAACGAAAAAUAGUGGUACACAGCUCAGUAAUACUGUU